rnacentral:lncRNA from 1 species
AAUACCUCAAAUAAGGGAGAACUUAAUGUACUGGGGUCCCUAUCAUUAAAAGAUGCAGCUCUUGCCCAAAAAGACAGUUCCUCUGCUCACUUACCCCCAAAGGACCGACCUGUCACCGUGUUCUUUGAAAGAAAAGGAAGUCCAUGCCAAUCUAGUACUGUCAAGGAAUUAUCCAAGACAGACAGAAUGGGCACCCAGCUGAAUGUAGCCUGUAAACUCUCAAAUAAUCGCAUUUCAAAAAGAGAACACUUUAGGCCAACUCAGUCUUACAGCCACAAUUCUGAUGACCUUUCCAGAGAGGGAAAUGCUAGGCCCAUUUUCUUCACUCCAAAGGACAAUAUGAGUAUUCCCCUUGUCAGCAAAGAAGCCUUAAACAGUAAAAAUCCUCAACUCCAUAAAGAAGAUGAACCAGCAUGGAAACCUGUGAAGUUAGCUGGGCCAGGCCAAAGAGAGGUAAGUUUUGAGUUUUUGUUUAUCUAUCUUCUAUACAAAAGAGAUGUACAUUAUUUUGGAAAUUAUUAUUCUUGUAGGUAGAGCACCUCAUCUACCCAUUUACUCCCAAGUGUUUUUAGAGAAAGAAGCCAUGAGCGGAGAUUGUUAUAAUUAUGAAGGUGUACUCCAGGCAGGGAAUGGUGCCUAAAAACCCAGUUGCUAAGAAAAAGAAGGCAAU